rnacentral:lncRNA from 1 species
GUGCGGAGUGUUUGUUCAGUUCCAUAAGCCUGUCUUGUCUACAGAGAGAGCAGAGACAUCCCCAGAGCCAGCUGUCUGUGGGUAUUCUACCUUGGCAGUCUGAACCCCAGAGCCUGUGAUAUGUUGAAAGGAUGGAGGCUCCUCACAGUUCUACAUGGGUCCCCAGCUUCCUGUCAACCCUCACAGCCAGACUCAGGAAAUGCAGAACAUCUGGAAUAUUAUUGACUGCUCUGCAAAUACCACACGGCUGUGUGACGCCUCUCAUCACGACAAUCACCCGAGGCGGGUCUCACGGGAAAGUCUCUGACUACCGGCCUCAAGCAGUGUCUGCCACGUUCAUGCCUGCUCCACCCCCAGCACACAUCGGCGUAAGUCCCCACUCCCCACCCCAUCCCAGGUCACCAUAGACAUGUCACUGACCCUCUGUAGUCAUCACAUUGAUAAAGUCUUUAAAAUUGGAAGUCAAAAGAAUGUUUCAGUCUUCUCCCGGGCUUAUUCUCUUGGUUCUCCCUCCCUUCCUCUUUCCUCCCUUCCUCACGCCCCAAAGCAGGAUUCUGCAUCCUGGCCGUUCUGAGCUACUCACCUUCCCUGGCACAGUCUUUCUUUCUUGCCCUUGGGCCAAGCACUAUCAGUAGCUUUGAGUUCCCAUUCUCGAACCUGUAUUUCCCCCGGUCACUCCCAUGACGCUCUAGACUCAGCUUGGACAAUGUCUUCACUGGGGAGGCUGCCCUGCCCUCUCCACUCACUGCUCUGCCUGAUUUCACGUCCCUGCUCUAUGCUCCCCUACUACUUAUACCUCCUCCAUCAUAAACAGCGAGUCUACAUCAAAUUCAUCCUUCUCUAUGGCCCAUAAGCCUCCUACCUGUCUUUGAACAUACUACGCCAGGCACAUCCCACGGUCUCGCUGGCUGGGUUCUGUUUUCAGUGUGGCCAUCCAGCCCUUCUCCCAAACCUUGCUCUGCGUGUCAAGUAGAGAACCGUGACGAUGAUUUCAGAUCCUCCCACCUAUGUGUCAGGACUGCAUUCCGGAAGAACGAAGGCAAACCCAUCCCAAAUGCUGGAGGUGCUUGCCAGUGGUUGCUGUUGAGCACCCAGAAUUUCUAGAGAAGAGGAAAGCCACACCCACCUCACAGGACUUGGCAAUGUGCAGGGAGCUUGCAUGGGCCCUCUAAUACUCCAGAGUAGCCUCAGCUGAGAUUGUCUUUGUUAACAGGUUAGGGAACUCAGGCCCCAAGGGAGGCCGAUUUGGGGUUCUAGAGACAAGAGUCUUGGGGCUGUGACUAGAAGCCAGAGAGAGUAUCAUAGCCUUUGCUUCCAUCCACCCCCAGAGGAAGGUUCUGCUCUUUGCCUGCAGAGGGCCCAGGGAGAGUCACAAAAGCAGACGAUUGGAGGAGACAGCUCUGCAAG